rnacentral:rRNA from 1 species
GACGAACGCUGGCGGCGCGCCUAACACAUGCAAGUCGAACGGAGCUGAGAGAAGCUUGCUUUUCUUAGCUUAGUGGCGAACGGGUGAGUAACGCGUGAGUAACCUGCCCUGGAGUGGGGGACAACAGUUGGAAACGACUGCUAAUACCGCAUAAGCCCACGAUCCGGCAUCGGAUUGAGGGAAAAGGAUUUAUUCGCUUCAGGAUGGACUCGCGUCCACUUAGCUAGUUGGUGAGGUAACGGCCCACCAAGGCGACGAUUGGUAGCCGGACUGAGAGGUUGAACGGCCACAGUGGGACUGAGACACGGCCCAGACUCCUACGGGAGGCAGCAGUGGGGGAUAUUGCACAAUGGGGGAAAACCUGAUGCAGCGACGCCGCGUGGAGGAAGAAGGUUUUCGGAUUGUAAAAUCCUGUAGUUAGGGACGAUAAUGACGGUACCUAACAAGAAAGCACCGGCUAACUACGUG